rnacentral:lncRNA from 1 species
UCUGUCAACUCUGAAGCAAAGCUGGAGGCUUUCUUUGUAAAAUUUUAAACACUUUUAAGUUUUUAUUUUUGUAUUUUCUUUAUUGGGAAGUCAAUGUCGUGUUACAUCUUGAGACACCUGUACAAACCUUAUUUAGAAAAUGAGUAAUCCUUCAUUUCUCCCUCACAUACUGGGAGAAUGAAAAUGAGUGUAAGACAGUAAGGCAGAGAGGUAAGCUCAAGGUUAUUCACUUGCCCCCACAAAUAUUCAAUAAGCAUUGAUUGAAUGCCUAACACCACAUUCAAUUUUAAUGACUAAAAAAAAGAAAAAUAGAUGGUCAUUACCCUCCAAGUCCACAGAGACGAAUAGUUAAAACUGGCACCGGUUCAGUGCUUUAUUGCACUGUGAGUCCCUACCACAGGAUUCAAUUUCUCAUCAGAAGCCCUGUCCACACAGCAGUACGAUUAUUUGAUGUGUGUCUGUCCCUAGCUAGACCUGAUUGAGGUGGGGACUGUGUUUUAUUCACUUUUGGCCACCAGCCUCUUCAAAAUGCCUGGUUUAUUCAAAGAAGCCAUUCCACAAUGAAUGUGAAUGAAUGAAUGAAUGAAUGAAUGAAUGAAUGGUGGAAGAAAUGUCAGUGUCCUCCUCCUGUCUCCACUUGUUAUUAACCACAAAACCUUGGACACAUUCUGUGACUGGCCCUCGCUUCUUUUCUAAUCUGUGAAAUGGAGGUAGCCACAUUUCUCUUGCAAGGUAAUUGAUAGAACUGAAAAGGCUACCUUGGCGAAGACUCUAUCCUGGGUUGACACUUAGUAGAUGUUCAGGACUAUCAGAACAUGAGGAAGAAAAUGAUGAACUAACAGUGUCUUCUGACCCAUUGUAGACUGUAGGAGAGUGGAAAUCUGGGGGUUUCCAGCCCUGAUGACCUUUGUCCUCCAUAAAAGAGGUCAGCCACUGAAUGGAGGUGGACAGGUUUUGACACAAUUUGGUGUCAGAAGUGAGACUGAAGCUGGUUCACCUUGGACAGCUUGGCAACCCCUGAAAUAG